UGCCUUACACAUGCAAGUCGAACGGCAGCACGGGAGCAAUCCUGGUGGCGAGUGGCGAACGGGUGAGUAAUAUAUCGGAACGUGCCCAGUCGUGGGGGAUAACGUAGCGAAAGCUACGCUAAUACCGCAUACGAUCUAUGGAUGAAAGCGGGGGAUCGCAAGACCUCGCGCGAUUGGAGCGGCCGAUAUCAGAUUAGGUAGUUGGUGAGGUAAAGGCUCACCAAGCCGACGAUCUGUAGCUGGUCUGAGAGGACGACCAGCCACACUGGGACUGAGACACGGCCCAGACUCCUACGGGAGGCAGCAGUGGGGAAUUUUGGACAAUGGGCGCAAGCCUGAUCCAGCAAUGCCGCGUGCAGGAUGAAGGCCUUCGGGUUGUAAACUGCUUUUGUACGGAACGAAACGGUGAGCUCUAAUACAGUUUGCUAAUGACGGUACCGUAAGAAUAAGCACCGGCUAACUACGUG
rnacentral:rRNA from 1 species